rnacentral:snRNA from 1 species
GUGCUCGCUUCGGCAGCACAUAUACUAAAAAUUGGAAUGAUACAGAGAAGAUUAGCAUGGCCUCUGUGCAAGGAUGACAUGCAAAUUCGUGAAGCAUUCCAUAUUUUU